GGCGUGUUCAUUUUGGCAUUCAGUCGGCCGGACAGCCGAUAAUCUCACUGCUUAAUCGCUAAAUCGGAUCGGAAUUCUUCCGUAUGAUGCUUUUGCAUUUAUUGUGAAUCUGAUUUAGCAGUGAGCUACCUAAAAUGGUGAUCGUUGUAGCUGCAUUGGUUCUCAGUGUUUUAUUGGGAGCUCUAAUUUUAAUCCCACGUAACCGGACUGUACAAAAAGUCCAAC
rnacentral:misc_RNA from 1 species